GUCCACGCCGUAAACGAUGAUAACUAGCUGUUCGGGGUCUACGAUCCUGAGUGGCGCAGCUAACGCAUUAAGUUAUCCGCCUGGGGAGUACGGUCGCAAGAUUAAAACUCAAAGGAAUUGACGGGGGCCCUGCACAAGCGGUGGAGCAUGUGGUUUAAUUCGAAGCAACGCGCAGAACCUUACCAGCGUUUGACAUCCCUUAAUACGCGGUUUUCAGAGAUGAUUACCUUCAGUUCGGCUGGAUUAGUGACAGGUGCUGUAUGGCUGUCGU
rnacentral:rRNA from 1 species